AUUGAACGCUGGCGGAAUGCUUUACACAUGCAAGUCGAACGGCAGCACGGACUUCGGUCUGGUGGCGAGUGGCGAACGGGUGAGUAAUGUAUCGGAACGUGCCCAGUCGUGGGGGAUAACGUAGUGAAAAUUACGCUAAUACCGCAUACGAUCUAUGGAUGAAAGCGGGGGAUCGCAAGACCUCGCGCGAUUGGAGCGGCCGAUAUCAGAUUAGGUAGUUGGUGGGGUAAAGGCCCACCAAGCCAACGAUCUGUAGUUGGUCUGAGAGGACGACCAGACAAACUGGAACUGAGACACGGUCCAGACGCCUACGGGAGGCAGCAGUGGGGAAUUUUGGACAAUGGGCGAAAGCCUGAUCCAGCCAGUCCGCGUGCAGGAUGAAGGCCCUCUGGUUGUAAACUGCUUUUGUACAGAACGAAAAGGUUUCUACUAAUACUAGGAGCUCAUGACGGUACUGUAAGAAUAAGCACCGGCUAACUACGUGCCAGCCGCCGCCGUAA
rnacentral:rRNA from 1 species